UUUCUUUUUGAUCUCCCCUCUCCCCCAUCUCCCUCCUUUCCUAUACAUUUCCCCCCCAUCUUCCUCCUUUUUUUUUUUUCCAUCUCCUUCCUUUCCUCUCUUCCCCCAUCUUCCUGCUUUCCUUUCCUCUUCAUCUCCUCCCUUUUCUUCUAUUCUCCUUUUUUACGUCCAACCUUUUCCUCUCCAUGUCCCUCCUUUCAGCACCUCCUCCCCUUGUCCACCACACCUGCCCCUUCCCACCCCACCCUGCUUUUUCCCAAUUCCCCUGUCAAACCCACAGCACCUGGGUGCUGCUGGAGUCUCCUCCCAGCCCAGGUGUCACCACUUUGCCCUCCCUGCCCACUCCCCUUUAUAAGGGCCCCAGGAGAGGCAAGCCCCAAGCUUGCCCACUUGGGCAGAGGAUCCUCCUCGGAUCAUCACCGGUGCCCCAAGAAGAGACUCUGAAAUGCAAGAAAAAUGAGGUGCUGCGGAGGAGAAGAAUCCCAGCGCCACGUCGUGACAGACCAGCGAUGGCUUUGCACGCAGGAUGGGGCAAAUCUCAACGAUUAGCUAGCAAUGGAAAUUGCAAAGUAGAGGGGACAAGAAACAGGAGAAGGGAGCAGCAGGUAACUGAAGCUGCCAAGAUGCUACUCAAAAGAUAUGGAUACUGAGGAGGCAGAAGAAAUGGAAUAGGGAGGUAAUUUCAAAAGUGAGACUGAUGAUAAACAAAAUGAACAUGAAGGUGACAAGAGCUGCUGUAAAGCUUUACAGAGCAGCUUUAAGUCCAGAAAUGGCAAUUUCCUACGCACCUACAAGCCUCUACCACAGAUGGAUCUUCUGUUACACAACUCUUCUUUCUAGAAGAGUUUGCCAUCCAGCUUCUUGCACCAAUUGUUGUUGUAGGACAGUUAUGCCUCUGAUUGCUUUUAUAGCCUUGGCAAUGUAGAGGAAUGGGUAAUGUUCAGUCAUGAAUAAACCCAUCAAAAGUAUCCUUUCCCUUCCAGGCACAAUAAAUAAAGGUCAGGAGUUUUAUCAGCAGGACAGUGGUAGCUUCAGUAUUCUUUCUCUGUAGAGCCUGUGCAGAAAGACUGCAGAAAUGGAAGAGAAGGAAAGGCAAAGAGCAAUGAGAGAGGUGGAGAUGGACUCUUCAGCAAAUGACUGCCUGAUUAGACACUCUGGUGCUGUCAGGUGGACCAAAGAAAAUUAACUCUUGUUGUGGGUUCACUUGCACCACGGGAGACAGGACUGUACUGAAUAAAGCCUUCACAUUCUCAAA